GCGAGAUACUUGGGCGGAAGGCCCGGAUUGUCGCGCUUGUUUUACAUCUAGCUACCUACACUGUGUGUCUGAGGCCUGGAGAAUUCCACUGCGGCUCAGGGAUGCCGAGGCCAGGACACUGUGGAGUUACCCAUAUCUUCAAAUGAAACGUUCUUCCGAGCAGCAUUGUAUAUGCAGUCGUGAUCAUGAUGAUGUAAUUACUGAGUAACUCCGACGUUGAAUUCUGGGCAAUCUUCUGUUUCCUCUUUCCAAAACAAAAUCCUACAACAUCGGGUGGAAGAGCAACGCGCAACUGGCGAGUGGGGCAACAAUAAUGCGAUUCAUACAGCCGCAGAACUAUGUUCCGGAAAUGGCGGUGGAUAUUAACUGUUGCUCCUAUCCCAACGCAGACUUUGUUUAUGAUUAAAAUAUAUAACUUAAUUUUAUUAUUCCUGCUCUCGUUGUUCUGCAUUACUUGUAUAACUGAAGACAUGGGGGAACAGAGAACGCCUUAUGGACAACUUAAAAUUACAGUGGAAGAGCGAAGUUUCAGCUGUCUACUAUAUGACCUGUACCGUUCAAAUAGAAAAAAUCAAAUUUUAAUUUAAUGCUGAAACAACGGAGAAGCUCCGUAUUGGUUGCAGCAUUUCUGUUAAAACCUCUGUGAAAAAUGUGUGUGAUGUCUGACUAUGUAUGUGAAGGCAGUUUCUAAGACUGAUCGAUGUUUAUUAAAGCCACAAAUGUGCCUUCAGAACAACAGUGUACUCAGUUAAACAUUCGAGUGUGAUUUAUUUUGUUUCUGUAAUUGGUGAUAAUUAAGAUUAAUUGACAAAACAGGCACAGCUAUCCAAUUGAUUAAUUAAUUGUCCCUGCGUUGCGCGUUUGCAACACAACAGAGUAUAUCUAAAUAGCACAAGGUUAUUUGAAACAAUAGGUUAAACAGUUUAGACCAAGUGUAUAUUAUAUUGGCGUAAUCAACAAAAAUACACUAAAUUUACAAAGGUCCUGCCGAGUUGCCAUUCUUCAAACUAACAUCAAUCAAUCAGCUGCCAAACAGCUCCUCCCUGAUGAGAGCACUCGGGGUAAUUUAACUGGUAAUUUCAUCCACUGUUCGCGUUUAUUCACUGCAAGAUGCAUCGUUUAACCUGAAUCGACUAGAUUCUUUGGAGUAAAUUUCGCGCCUCGAUACCAAAGAAUUGCGGGACGCGGUUUUAAUUAAGAGAAAGACCUGAAUUUCAGGUCUAUGUGGUAGUCAUUCACGUGAUGUGGACUGCUAAUUGGAUAUGUGAAAUCAUAAAGUUUUGGCUGAAGAAAUAUAAUGUUGAUUUUUAGUUUUAUUAAAUCGAAUGUAAUGUGGAGAAUUCAAGCAGAUUAAUUUAUCAAUCCAGCUAUUUGAUGCUGGAAAUGUACAGGUUGCCUAUCUCAUUGCAUUUUCUAUUUUGAACAUUCCGAAGUAUUUCUUAAUACCUAUCGCAAUUAAGAACAGAAAAUAUGAAAUACACAGUCGAUCAGUCAGCAUCUGAGAAGAGAAAUACAAGCAAUAAAUAUUAUCAGACUGAUUUGUUUUUUAACCAAUCAUUUUCAGCCCUUGAGCGAUUCUAAGCACUGAACGCAAUCGUUUCACAAAAUCACACUUUGUUUCAGAUUUGCACAAUUUUUUAGCGAUGCGGAUACAAUCAGAACAAUUACAAAAAUCAAUGGACAUGGGUCGGUCAAUUUGAAAACAGUAGCAUUCAAGACACAAUCUCUUUCUCUUGAACAGAAUGUGAUGCCACGAUUAGGUGCCAAGAUUUUACGUGAAAUCAAGCAACGAUUGAGUUGCAUACCCGAGAAAGUUAAAUGCAUCUUAAUCAAUGCAUGGAUUUAAGUACGUUUGAUAACAAAAUGACGGGAGUGAAAUAAUAAUGUCGGUGCAAGUACCAAGUGUGUACAUUUUUGGAGCCAUAAAACAGUUUGGCAUUGUAGGUUUGGCUAUGGUUAGAAAAGCGUAUU